GUUUAUUAAAAUCUUUGUUGAAUCAAAUUCCCGAAUGGUUGUGAGCUAUAUAUAUAUUAAGUAUUACGUUGUAGAGUAAUAUCAUAAUGUGCAUAUAGGGGUGAUAGGCCUAACAAACUGCUUGAUAACUGGUUGUAUAGGAAAAAUAUUAAGUAGUGAGUUAGACUAACAAUGUUAAGCUUGUUAGUUAGCAUAAAAUAAAGUAUUUCAAAGUUGUACAGUGUAAAAGCUAACAAUAUUUGGUUUAAAUAUUCCACUUAUAUGAUUGUGUCAUUUACUGUAUCUAUUGUUUAAGGCAACGUUAGAUAAUGUAAAUAUAAGUAAUAACAAAGAUUCGUAUUAAAGGAACUCGGCAAACAUAUACUGCUCAACUGUUUAUCUAAAACAUAACCACAUGCAAGAUAUAUGUGGCUACUUCUGCUCCAUGGUAUACUAAAUAGCCGCAGUACUCUGACUGUGCAAAGGUAGCAUAAUCAUUUGGCCUCUAAUUAGGGUCUGGUAUGAACGAAGUUAUGGGUGGUUGCUGUCUUAAUAUGUUUUAAUUAAUUUAAUGUGCAAGUGCAAAUACUUGCGUGGAUAAAAUAGACGAGAAGACCCUAGAAGCUUGAUUUUUUUUUGCUGGGGCGGCAGAAUUACAGUUAACUAAUUUUAUAUUACAAGACUUUCAAAGUCAGUUAAAGCUACUCUAGGGAUAACAGCAUAAUAUUUUAAAGUUUGUGACCUCGAUGUUGGACUAGGUACCCUGUUUCUUAGAAGGGAGCGGGAUGGGCUCUGUUCGAGCAUUGACACCUACAUGAUCUGAGUUCAGA
rnacentral:rRNA from 1 species